rnacentral:rRNA from 1 species
UACGUAGGGUGCGAGCGUUGUCCGGAUUUAUUGGGCGUAAAGAGCGUGUAGGCGGCCAUACAGGUCAGGUGUGAAAACUCGAGGCUCAACCUCGAGACGUCGGUUGAAACCGUAUGGCUAGAGUCCGGAAGAGGAGAGUGGAAUUCCCGGUGUAGCGGUGAAAUGCGCAGAUAUCGGGAAGAACACCCGUGGCGAAGGCGGCUCUCUGGGACGGUACUGACGCUGAGACGCGAAAGCGUGGGGAGCGAACAGG